rnacentral:rRNA from 1 species
GACGAACGCUGGCGGCGUGCCUAAUACAUGCAAGUCGAGCGAAUGGAUGGGAGCUUGCUCCCUGAAGUUAGCGGCGGACGGGUGAGUAACACGUGGGCAACCUGCCUGUAAGACUGGGAUAACUUCGGAAACCGGAGCUAAUACCGGAUACAUUCUUUCUUCGCCUGAAGAAAGAUGGAAAGAUGGUUUCGGCUAUCACUUACAGAUGGGCCCGCGGCGCAUUAGCUAGUUGGUGAGGUAACGGCUCACCAAGGCAACGAGGCGUAGCCGACCUGAGAGGGUGAUCGGCCACACUGGGACUGAGACACGGCCCAGACUCCUACGGGAGGCAGCAGUAGGGAAUCUUCCGCAAUGGACGAAAGUCUGACGGAGCAACGCCGCGUGAGCGAAGAAGGCCUUCGGGUCGUAAAGCUCUGUUGUUAGGGAAGAACAAGUACCAGAGUAACUGCUGGUACCUUGACGGUACCUAACCAGAAAGCCACGGCUAACUACGUGCCAGCCGCCGCCGUAAAAC